UGGAAUUCGGUAAUUAUUCGUUUUCGUGACACGUAUUCAGGACUUUUUUUGGUAGAAUUGUUUACACCUGAUCUCCAUGAUAUUCCACCCUGGACACUAAUCCAGACACAUUAACCUUCCCAGAAACCAGUGUCAUGCAAACUCGUUCGAGUCCAAAUGCUUUCCGAGUUUCAAAGUUUUGCGAUCGUCUAAAUAUUUCAAAUUAAUGGUAACGAUAAACUUUGUCGGAUAGAAAAACUUUCAGUAUAGUAAUAGUCUGUAUCACCUGGCAAUCUGACUUCCUUGAAUAGCACAAACCGUCGUCUUUUUAUAUCCUUGCAUUAUGGAAACUGUACAAAAGUAAGGACAAUUAGUAGUGGUCGAAAAAUGCAAGUGUUACUCCGGAGCUCCUAUUGAACCACUAAUAAUCUAAUCGUUGCACAAUUAUUUCGUGAUUACUUUGUGUGGAAAUGAACCACAACGGCAGCCGAUACACGUCGUUCGCCUUUGCUAGUGGAGGGAUCGCUGGCAGCGGCGGUGCCCGAGGGGAACUGAGCAGUGGUAAUUUGAGCAGAAAGCUGAGUAGUCCGAUGGCAGAGUCGACACAGCUGGACAGCAGCGGUAUCCGGGGGAAUCUUUACGACAGUCCGGUACAUGUUGGAGUUGGGAAAAGAAGCCUACCUCUCCGUUGCAAAAUAGCAGGACAAAUUUUAGAAGCAGCUGAACGGCGUCCGGGUCCAGUAUGGAUCGAUUGAUUGAUCCUAAGAUUUACACGGAUGUUCAGAGCCGAGGAUUGGUUAACCGGUUGGUAAAGAACCACGAUAAAACGCAAUCGCCGUUAAAUAGGAGUCAAUCGAUGACUAGCCUGUACUCGAAGCCGGGUCAAUUUCCUGUGUGGUGGAGGAGAAAUAAUUCUUCGAUAGCUACCAUUGGUUCGGAUUUCCCCGUCAGAGAAGUCCGUGUUUCAGGCUGACACAAGGUGGAACAUUUUACGGGAGGGAUCGUUGCUCAUUCCGGCGGAACCUCAUCUGAAGAUGGUCCGAACACAUAGACACGAGGAUAAGAUUGAUGCGGAAAAUAGUGUGAUUGCGUCUUCAACAGAACUGGAUGCCGAUUGGAUCAAGAAACAAUGUAAGGAACUAUCGGAGGUUGAUUCAGGCGAAGCUGGUACGAAGCAAGCUCGGGAAAUUACAUACACGGCUUCGCACCCGUGUCGAGGGUCGACGAAUCAGCAGCUACAGACGAAGAAAUGUAGUAAAAAUAAUAAGUUCACUUAGCUCGAGCCUGGUGAUGAACACUCCGAAAGUGGAACACGUAGCGCACCGGCCGGCACGAUUAAAUGUGGAUGUCUCUCGACGCCGGCAACAUUGGAUGCGACGGUUCCAGUUAGCAUGAUUGAAUCGAGCAAACCGGCAAAAUUAAGUAGGAUUGAUUCCGCUCCUUUGCCACAUAUUACGAGAAUUGUUCCGGAGUUUCAACUGCCUCUGAUGGAAUAUCCGCCACUAAAACUAACGUUGUUUAACAAAAAAUACAACGUCCAUGACAUGACGAAACGGUGGUUCGACCCACGUCCACAGACAGUGAAGAUAAGGAUGAUGAUAAAGUAGGCGGACGAAUCAGUUUCAUUAAGCCAAAGGAUAAAUCGCCUAUGCCAAGGUUGUUUUGAAGAGGUUCGAGCGCUCGAAAUCAUCGUUGAUUCUGAGCUGCUUGAGUGAUGAUUUUGAUGAAGACGAGGAAUCGCCUAUAGUUACGCCAUCGCAGGGUUCAUUUUAUACGAUAGACACCGCGGAUGCACCACCGAAGGUUGAAGAGAAGAAACGGCUUCCGUCCCGACAAUGAGCGGUAUUUCAGCAAUAGUUAACAGCCCGAUCAAGGAUCCUGGCCUAGGUAACCGAAACCGGUGGAAAAUGUAAAAACGAUAGAGCAACCGAAGUAAACCACGGGAUUUGCUUUCGGAAGUACAACUGCUACCGUCAGCUCGGCUCCGGUUACAGCACAUCAAUCCGAUACAUAAUUUACGUUUGGGACGCCCACUUAACCGUUACUGCUAAAAUCAUAUCAUCGGAAAUACCACGUAUCGUUUUCCUGUGCUUGGAUUUCGGUACGUACGGAAUCGGACGGCGUUUAUGGCCGAUACCAUUUUAUCGGAAAAUAAUGCGAUUCGAGGUAUUAAUCACACGCCUACAUCAAAAAAUUAUAUAAUUUGCAACUAAUAUUUUAAAAAGCC